rnacentral:rRNA from 1 species
UACAGAGGGGGCAAGCGUUGUUCGGAAUUACUGGGCGUAAAGGGCGCGUAGGCGGCCUGUUAAGUCGAACGUGAAAUCCCUGGGCUCAACCCAGGAACUGCGUCCGAUACUGGCAGGCUUGAAUUCGGGAGAGGGAUGCGGAAUUCCAGGUGUAGCGGUGAAAUGCGUAGAUAUCUGGAGGAACACCGGUGGCGAAGGCGGCAUCCUGGACCGAGAUUGACACUGAUGAGCGAAAGCUAGGGGAGCAAACGGG